GGGUGUAAAAGUGAUCUAGCUGUGACAUCUGUCAUCCUAUUGAUUUCCAGGGUUGAUUUGGCUGAUCAGGUCAGCUAGGUGACUGUCCCCUCCCUCCCUCACCAUUCCAUGUGUUUCCCUCCUGAAACUGGCUGCUCGGUCAAAGAGGACAAGGACCACCCCCAGUAGAGGAGGACUGUUUUCUGGUCAAGGGUAUAGGGGUAACUGCACUCCCUGGCUAGAUCCUCCAAAUGAGCUCUCAAGGAUUAAUGAGAUAAUGUGUAUAGGCAGCAUUUUGUGGUUCUUGAGGAAAGGCUCUACAUAAAU
rnacentral:snRNA from 1 species